rnacentral:rRNA from 1 species
GACGAACGCUGGCGGCGUGCCUAAUACAUGCAAGUAGGACGCAGUUGCGAACGGGUGAGUAACGCGUAGGUAACUGCCUAUUAGAGGGGGAUAACUAUUGGAAACGAUAGCUAAUACCGCAUACUAGUAGAUGGACCUGCGUUGUAUUAGCUAGUAGGUAGGGUAAUGGCCUACCUAGGCGACGAUACAUAGCCGACCUGAGAGGGGUGUCGGUCACACUGGGACUGAGGUACGGCGCAGCCGCCGACGGGAGGCAGCAGUAGGGAAGCUUCGGGAAUGGGGGGAACCCUGACCGAGCAAAGCCGCGGGAGUGAAGAAGGUUUUCGGAUCGUAAAGCUCUGUUGUUAAGGAAGCGGUACUUAACCAGAAAGGGACGGCUAACUACGUGCCAGCCGCCGCGGUAAUUC